CUGGAUCAAGCACCUCCAAAUGGGUAAUAUACAUCUGAACGUCUUCGUUACAAUACAGUAUAAGUAAUUUGCUAUGAAAUAUAUGCGUGAAAGCUUUGAGUGACAUGCUUCCCGAAAGCAAUAUAUUUUGUAACAGGGAUGGAUCCAGCAUGAUCUGGGAGGGGGGUGUUCUGUCGGCUCUGGUGCCGAGUAUCGGUCAUGUACGCCGCCCGCCCAUAGUCGCUAGUCUUGCUCGACUACUCAAUCUCGAACCCUGAGCCCACAAUCCUCUGUGGAGGCUUGCUGAGGGUACAUACUUCGUGUGACCCCUGUUAUGAUAUAUCAAGACCCCCUUCACCGCCUGAUAUGGACAUUACGUAUAUAGAGCAAACUGAGCUCUAAUUAUUACGGUGCAAAAACUGAUAAGGGUCAAAUGAAUUGAUCUACCUUGCUGAGGUCUUCACCGGAGGAUUGUGGGAUCAUCAUGUUAUUACUCAAAUUACUGUAUUUCAUUUUGUCUCUAAUAUUUUUAUGCUUCAUCAUGAAAAAUAUCACACACACCCUGCACACCCUUGAACGAUCUAUAUAACCCGAAGGCCCAAGCAGUUGAAGUGGUGAAAGGCACGAAACCCCUGUAGCUAUAUAGGUAUAUAUAAGAACAUGACUACAUCUCUGCCUAUCCGCACGGAUCAUGAUAGUUACAUAUCCAGAUUUAUACCUUUUUUCUUUCUCGCGAAGUAUACCUUUACUUAAUUCAAAAGGGCAAAAAGGGACUUUGUUUUUGCAUAUUCAGGCUCUCCAUUUCAGGUAGUGGUCAACCUCACAGAAAGAUGCAUGCAAUUUAGCCUGACAUGUUCACAUAGCAAGGAAAGAAAGGGCUAAUUAUUUAUGACAAAAGUGGGAAUCCGUAGAAUUCCACUUAUCUAUUUUCAGUCUUCUGUAUAGCGUUGCCAUUGGUGAUUGUUGAUAUUGAGUUCUUUUUUAAUAAAGGAAACAGUUGGUGCCUUUUGUCAUCGAACGCAAGACUGAUUUCUCGCCCACGACAAUCCAUCUUCAAUUUACAUCGUUCAUCCGCUAUAACUUAUCUUGUGUGAAUUGGAAUUGCUCCAGCUUGAUUUGGUAUUAGGCAAUGAAAACUGUCACGGAUUUGGUUUCUGUGUGUAUUAAUGUACCGGUAUGUAGUGAUAUUUUUAUCCAGUUUAUAUUGAUGGCACAAAAACAACUUGUGUCAAAGAAUAGUUUCAAUUAGCAUUGGCAUGCAUGUGCGUGCAAAAAUGCCAUUGCCCAAGUCUUCAUUCAUUAUAUUUAAUUUACUGUAGCAUUAUCGCUACAGUUUUAUUCCUGCCAAAGUGCCUAUAUAGUGCUAUAUACUAUAGAGUUACAUCGUAACUGCUCACAGUGAGGUCUAAAUGUUAUAAUUAAAAUACCUCCAGUUGCACUCAAAAAUUCCAUGCACUCAUAAUAGAUAGAUAGAUAUAAUUUCGUUGAACUGUGUAUAAGAUUUUGCUUGGUUAUAUCUGAAAUAUCUGAUUUCUAUUUGCUUCCUUUGGACAGAGCGACUUACCACAGUCUUUAGGCUACGAUCAGAUUUUCACUAUUGCUAUUGAUAUUAAACAUGUGUCGCCGUUCCGUCAGAUCAUGCCAAAUAUAUAUGGAAACAUGCAUAUACUUCCGUCUAAGUCUCGAGUCAACUAAGUAUUUGGAUGGCAAUAACUGUUAAGUUACACAUAUAGGUAUCCAUGAUUUCUUGCAAUAUCGGCUUGCCUCUUUUAAGCGAAAUUAUAUAAACAAUAUGGCAGUAUAUAUGUGACCCCUAUUAACAUGGAGUGUAAAAUAUAAAAAUACCCACUUGAUUUGAAUAGCUAUGCUAAAUAAAUUGCAACCUCCUGUUGAGUGACCACCCUACGCAAUUACAAUACUACAACAUUCAUUGUAAGCACAGUGCACACAAUUUGUUGGCACUGAAGUCAAAUGAAUUAUAUUUUUAAAUACACUAUAAAUCGUUUAUGACGAAAAUGAUCGUUUAUAUCGAUUUAAUUAAACUAAAUCGAGUGACACAGGCAAUCGUGCAAUUUUACGUUGUCGUUGAUUUAGUAUAGAGAGUGAAUUAACUCCUAAAGUAAGCCCACCUCUUAAAUAACCCUCAUUUCCCUGAUAAAUCCUUUUUCAUUAAUUAUUAAAGGAAGAAAUUAUUUUAUUAAGCCCCUGUCUAUUAAGUCGCCCUCCUCGCAACAAAGAAGCACAUAUAUAGUGUGUAGGCCUACUGAUUAGAUUUUAUUAAUUGGCGUGGAAUUUCACUUGCGUUUACUGCAGCGCAUUGCUUUACCAGGAGGGCUUAAUAGAGGAUUUGUGUACAAUUGCAUGGAAAUACUAUUGUACUAUAGAUAUCGGGAAUAUUAUUGGGAAACACUUAGCCGUCGAGCUGCGCAUGUCUGUUUUUUAGAUAUUUCAGUUUGUUUGAUACAGUAUAAUGCAGUAAAUCAACGGAAUCUUUAACGUUAUUGGGUGGGACAGGGUAUAGAAACUUCCAACGAACCUGACCCACACCACACCAUAGAAUAAAGAUCCACAUAGAAGGGCAACUUACGUCGGAAGCUUUGAAGUUUUUGUCCUCGCGCAUGUCGCAUUACGCAUGUUGGCCGCCAUUUUCCUAGCCAGUCAAUGACAUUUUCUGGCCAAUAAACACGCUGUACUGGCUGGCUGCUCCGCCUUCUGGCCAGUAAACUGCAUAUUUUUGCAUAAAAAAACGAGGACACGUUGCACCGCUGAGUUGCCCUUCUGUUACUGAUCUUUAUUCUGUGACCACACCUCAACCCUAACCCCCCACUCUGCCCCUACUUAUAAUAUUGAAUUAAGUAUAAACAAGGUUAUAGAACUAAACAACAUUGAAAUGAGAGGGAGGUGGUAUAGAAUAAUCUAAAAUCUUUUCCCAUGGGAAAAGAUUUUAGAUUGAUCUUCUUUUUUGCAUGCAUGCAUGCAGGUCAUGGGUCUCGAUUUCCCGUUUGCACUAUAGCCCCAUUAGAGACCUUACGAUUUUAGGACGGCAACGCGACGUCAACGGCUACCAAUACAAUAGAUCAUUGAAAAGUAUUGAAAAAUUACAAUAUAUGAAUAAUUUAGACAUUGUCCUCGCUCUGUUUACAACGCCAAAUCACAGAUUUUCACGUCUUGAUACAACGGCUGCAUUUCAAGCCGCAACAAGUGCAACUUCAAACUGCAUGUGUUCAGGAGAACUCUUCUCAACCAUAAAACCCAUGUCUUCAACUUCUAAGACUGUAUUAAAUUCAUACCAUUGAUAUAAUAUACGACGAAUUAUCUUUAUUACCAUUUAUUUGAAGGAGUUUGUUUUGGCCGUCGUUGUCGAGUUGCCGUCCUAAAAUCGUAAGGUCUCUAUUGCAUGGGCCUAUACAUCUUGUAAUCUAUAAUUUUGUGUCCAAUCACCGUGUCCAAAAAGCUGAUGAAAUAAACUACUCUUUAGCAUAAUUAGGUGCCGCCGGAGCAUCACUUCAAAGUCCAAAUUAGAAUUAUUGUAUAUGCGCCUAAUCUCGAGUGUUUAUCUUAUACGUAAUACGGAACGAAUAUCUUAGACAUAGUUUUCCUUAUUUGUUCAUGUCCGCAAUGAAAGCUAUUUCAACUCUAGAGAAAAACUAACCGCAGUAUAGUAUACAACUUAAUUCUUAACUGGAUUGAAUGUUAUUAUAACUGUCCGUGUUUGUAUCAUGAAAAUUAUGAAAUUUAAUUAUUGGAGUAGGAACGGCCCUUCAAAGAUACAUAGUCAUAGGUAUGUAUAAACUUUGAGUAAAAAGCAGUACGUCAAUGUAAUUUUUUACGACCUCUAUAGUGAAGUCUGUAUAGCGCGUAUAUUAUACACUUAAUGUCUGCUCCCGAGGGGAAAAUACUUAUACUUAUAAUUUUGUUUUUCCAAGAGUUUAAUGUUCAUACGAGCUAGAUGGAGGGAAACAUUGAGAUUCGAGCGAAAACGGAAAACAAACUAUUUCCCGAGGGAACAGACAGAGUGUUUUUUAUAGUGACAAAGAAAAAAUAAACAAUAUUCACAAAACAGUUGCCGUCCCAUGUUGUGCAUUUAAGCGUACGUGUGCACACGGAAAAUCCCGUUUUAAAUCCAGUUUUAAAUUUUACUCGUUGAAUAACGAAUUGAAUAAAACGACAGAAUUUUAAAUCUGUAUUAAUGUUUAUUUGUUGAGGUAAUUAGUAGUAGUAAAAUUUAGAAUUAUUUUACUUUUAAAAACUUUUCCGUGUAUGAAAAACGCUUAACUGGAAAGUAGCCUUAACUUUUUAAGACAUGCACUGUAGCUAUUCUUUUCGUAAACUGGAAAAAGCUCUUUCUAAACUUUCGGCUUCAUUUUGAGCAUUUUAUGUAUAAACAGAUGAAGCAUAGGCUAUAUAGCUUAAAUGUGUCCUUUAACGAUGUGAAUUAGUGUGAAAUCAUGCAGUGAUGUCUGAUGGAGCUACGAUAAUCCUCAAGUAUACUUAACUGUCUCUUUAUGCCAGACAGUGGAAUUAUAAUUGUAUAUAUACCUUAAAUGUAUAUGUAUAAUAUCACAGUAUAUAGUUUCGCUUAUCUCAAAGCUUUGCAGUGGUUUCACCAAGAGUUUGUAUCUUCAGAUGACUGUCCUUUGGGGUAAGCGAGAGUACAUUUUGGCUCUAUAUCUUUGUGGUAUCGAACACUCUCUAACGUUUCGUGAACCAAUACAUAGUAUAGUAUAUACAGUAUAUAUAUGAAUCCUCACUCUCUCUUUCUACCAUAAACUUGCACAAUAUCUGAUUAAUUAAAAAGGUAUACUUGCAUGUUUAUUUAUCAACUAUAUAUAAGCUCUUCAUGAGAUCUAUAUUUUGCAAUUUACAACUAUAGCUUUCCAAUACAUUCAUCCCAUUUUCUUCUUCUGAUGUAUGUGAACGAGUAAAUAAGUUAUGAAUGCUCUGAGUGUAUGGGCGCCUUCCAUCAACACGGCCAGACCGGUCAGAACGGUCAAGUUGUUGAAUGAAACACAAAACAUUUGGGCUUCGGACCUAUCUGACCGGAAAAUUUAGAUAACAUUAGAGUGAGGUCCAUUUUCGCUACAUGUUUGAGAAACAUAGACCAGAUCUUUCCAUUGAUACAGAGAAAAGAAUUGGCCGAUCUGACCGGUCAGGCCAUUAAAUGGAAAGCGCCCUAUGUAUACCCUCAGGCAAACCGUGCAGCAACAAAAGAUGACAACGGGUGAAGGAGUGAUUUAAUGUAGUAAUAGUACUCCUAAACAAUAGUACUGUCCCACCGGGCACACGACGUUGUUUCAACGUUGAAAUUUGGUAGAAAAAAGGUUGCGACGUCGACAACCUAAUAUCUACGUUGCUUUGACGUUGUUUUACAAACAUUGGUUCAACAGCAGCCAACAGACGUUGAAUUAACGUUCAUUCAUGGUUAAAUGUACGACGUCGAUUUGUGAACCAAUCUCAACGUUGAUUAAACGUGGAUUCAACGUUGAAUUGUGGUUGACGAAAUUGGCAACCUAAUUUCAACGUUGUUUCAACGUCGAAACAGUAACGUCGAUCCAAUUUGCAUAGUCAACCCUUUUUCAACGUCUAUCCAACGUCUGGAAAGUCAUUUCCAACGUUGAUUCAACGUUGGAUAAACGUCCUUUUGCCCGCUGGGGUGUUGUUACUUCGCUAAAUUCGUUUUUAUUUAUACUGGUGAUAUGUUUGAACCAAAGAUUGAAUUCUCUUUAUAGAACUAAACGAGAAGAUGAAAUUUGGUAUUUCAAGUCAGCAAAUGGAGAUGGUCUUCGCAUUCCUAUAAAGGUGAAACGUCAC